GACGAACGCUGGCGGCGUGCCUAAUACAUGCAAGUCGAACGCACUCUCGUUUAGAUUGAAGGAGCUUGCUCCUGAUUGAUAAACAUUUGAGUGAGUGGCGGACGGGUGAGUAACACGUGGGUAACCUGCCCUAAAGUGGGGGAUAACAUUUGGAAACAGGUGCUAAUACCGCAUAAAACCUAACACCGCAUGGUGUAGGGUUGAAAGAUGGUUUCGGCUAUCACUUUAGGAUGGACCCGCGGUGCAUUAGUUAGUUGGUGAGGUAAAGGCUCACCAAGACCGUGAUGCAUAGCCGACCUGAGAGGGUAAUCGGCCACACUGGGACUGAGACACGGCCCAGACUCCUACGGGAGGCAGCAGUAGGGAAUCUUCCACAAUGGACGAAAGUCUGAUGGAGCAACGACCGCGUGAGUGAAGAAGGUUUCGGAUCGUAAAACUCUGUUGUUGGUAGAAGAAUGUAUCUGAUAGUAACUGAU
rnacentral:rRNA from 1 species